GGAUAUAGUUCAGCUGGUAGAAUGUGUGCCUCACAUGCACAGGCCUGGGGUUCAAUACCCAGCACCA
rnacentral:tRNA from 1 species